rnacentral:rRNA from 1 species
UACAGAGGGGGCAAGCGUUGUUCGGAAUUACUGGGCGUAAAGCGCGUGUAGGCUGCUCGGAAAGUCGGGUGUGAAAGCCCUGGGCUCAACCUAGGAAGUGCACUCGAAACUUCCGAGCUGGAGUGCUGGAGAGGAAGGCGGAAUUCUCGGUGUAGAGGUGAAAUUCGUAGAUAUCGAGAGGAACACCGGUGGCGAAGGCGGCCUUCUGGACAGCGACUGACGCUGAGACGCGAAAGCGUGGGGAGCAAACAGG